AAGUCGUAACAAGGUUUCCGUAGGUGAACCUGCGGAAGGAUCAUUACAACACCCUUUUUUCUUUUAUUAAUUAUUAUUAAUUAAUAAAAUAAACCCACUUUGUUGAACCUUUAUUUUUAAUUGUUAUGAAUUAUUUUUGUUAUGAAUGGGAUUUUCUUUUUUUUUUCUACAAAAAAAGAGAAGAUUUCCAUUUUCAUAUCCAAUCUUAUCUUAUUAUCUUAUAUUAUCUCUUUUUUUUCUUUUUUUCUUUUUUGGAUCUUCAACUUUUGUUUUGAAGUAAACAAAAAAUAAAAAGAAAUGAUGGAUAAUUCUGUUAAAAAACAAAACAAAAUUUUAAUUAUAAAUCCAAUUUAUUUUGGAAUUAUAAUAAUAAAUAAUAUAAAUAUGAGAGUACAACUCUUAACAAUGGAUAUCUAGGCUCUCGU
rnacentral:misc_RNA from 1 species